UUUCAAGGAAGUGAUUUUCUACCAAGAUCCUGUUUACUUUUCCCUUGCAAUUAAGUUGCAGAAAGAUUAAAUGUCAAGAAUGUGGCAUUAGUUGGAAAAAAUGAGCCACAACCAUGUGAGGAUAAACAGCCAGCAUACUGUAGUGUCUGAUUUAGUUACAGGUAAUUUAGUAUUUUUCUUGCACUUUUGCAUUAGUACACUAAAAUUUUGCCAUGGUAAGGACAUGCAGUAUGGUUUUCAGCUUUAACUUUACCAUCUGUAAUUUAGAAGUGGAGUAAUUUGCUUCUUUGUCAAACAAACUGAAAAUUGAAUGUAAGUGCUGAAGUACUGUCUCUAUGAGAGCUGUAGUAAACACUUCACUGUCCUGUGCAGAUGCCUUAGUGAGUAAUCCCAAGCCCCUUCCACUAACACAUAUGCAGCAAAAUUGUAGCAGUAGCAGCAGGGUUGGGGUAUGUUGGAUCACAUUUGGUGCUCUGAUCAAGGUACUGUGGAGGGCGUUUUGGUCACCCACCUUUUAGAAGCACUAUGUAAUAUUCAGCACUUUCUUUUGGAAAAUGGAAACACAUCUUCUGAACUAUGAAUGGUGUAAUGUAAUUUUAAUGUUUAUUAUUUUUAAAAGUUUGGUUUCAGGACAUCUGUGGAAGAAGAUGAAUAAAUGUAUCAAGGAAUAAUAAAGAUGUGGAUUACAAGGCCACUUCAGUCCAAUAAGCAGUGUCUGAAGAUGCCUCUUUUUAUGACCAAGCUAGUACUUUUGAGUAAGAGUAGAUAUACAUCAGUAAAACUGGACUCUGUCGUUCUUCCCCUCGGCCCGGCAUGCCAUGGCAUCCUUCCGUGGGGCAGGCCCGUGGUGACAGCCCACAGUGGUACAGGGGUUGUGAUGUGCGUGCCCCGCUCCCGCGGCCAUGCUGAGUGACACAGAGGAGUGGCUGCUGAUGACACCCACAGCUGUCCCCCACCCCGUGCCUCAGCGGCGGCCAGGCCCUGCUGUCCCCGGGGCUGGCGCCUGGCCGCAGCCUGCCUCGGGGGCCGCCUCCCGGCCCCGCCUGCCGGGCAGCCUGGCAACCCCCGCGGCAACAGCCCGGCCCAACCGCCCGGCAGCGGCGGCCAUGAGGGCGGCGGGCCGGCAGAUGCCCGCGGCGGCGGCCGGGGAGCCGGGCAGCCACGCCCGCGGCGAGCAGCCCCGGCAGAAAUGUGUAUAUGUUGAGCCACCUAGGAGAGUUAAAGAAAUACUGGAGGAGCACUUUCAUUUACAAGAAGAAGAAUGCAAGAUCAAUCAUCCAGCUGCAGUGGCUCUGGAAGAAGUUUGGAAUGUGAAGAACAAUUUCUCCAUUAGAAGCCUGAAACCAGUGUCACGGAACAGCAGUGACUUACUUUUACAGCCUCAAUUCUACUCAAGACAUGCAAGAAUGAAAAUAAGUAGGCAACAGACUUUGAAAUCUUUGCAGAAGAAAUCUGUUCAGGACUGCUGUGUUGAGUCACCUUAUUUCAUAUUCUGAAACCUUUUGUAAAGGUUCCUCAUCUAUUUUGUGGAAUAAUCACUUGGUUCCUACUGAUAGAUGAUUGCUGAAUGUCAAUGCUGUGAAGACCUGAGCCUGCUUUGAUGUGUCAAAUGAAACGUCAGCAUAACUAGCUACCUUUGGAAAUGCAGAUGUUUUUUAUAGGAUUUUGAAUAAAGUUCUAAUUGAAUAUGGAA